rnacentral:lncRNA from 1 species
UCAAAUUCAUUUUCAACUAAAGCUAGUACCAUUCAUAUGACCUUAAUUUCCAAGCUAUGAUGAUGGUCACAGAACCUAUUUUAUUUUAGAGUUAACAUAUAUUAUUAUCAAAUAAAAGUUGAAUUAUUUCUUUUUCUUUUUUUUUGUCAGGUAGUCUAGUGGUUAGUAUUCACCUUUUUCAAGGUGAAUAAGUGAGGUGUCCGUGAUUCGAACCCUGACCUCUGCAUAUAACAAUGUAUGUCCCUGCCAACUGAGCUAUGCUCACGGGAACAAAGUUGAAUUAUUUCUAUAAAUAACUGAUAAUAUACUUAUUUUUUAUUACAUAAAAACAUGUAUCCUUGUAUUAUUUUAACGAAAUCUUUAAAAUAAAUAAAAACAUCCAAUAAAACAAAAGGAGUAUAUUUAAUUGACUUUGGGUGCCAUUUAAUCUGGGAAAGAAUACUUCUUUCCCACUAUGGAAAAGUCUUUUUUUAACCAUUAGAUUGAGUAGUACCACCAUUGUUACUAUAGUCUAUCCACACUUUAUUUUUUUCACAUCAUCUCUAACCUUAACAACUUAGUUUAUUAUCGUCACCCAAUGAAAAUUUCAUCUCAAUUUAUUUUUCCCUUCAAAAAUAUUCUUGAAUCAAAAUAAAGAGAAAGGGAUCUAAUUGUGAAACCCAACUAUUCAUCUUCAUUCAUUCAUUUAUGUGUUCUUCAAACAAAUCACUCAUCUUCACCAAUCUUUUCUUCCUAAAAGUUGAGAUCUGGAACAUCACAACAACAAAACAAAUUUGGAUCUGGAAAACCACCACAACAAGCUUCACUAUAUUUGAAGAAAAAAAACGUUGAAAAGCAAGGAAAUUUUGAAUUUUUUUAUUUGAAUAUUUAUUUUGGAGGGUUUAUAAUUCUAGGUUUGUUUUUGUUUUCCCUAAUUUUAUAUUAUUGGUUGUGGGGCUUUUUUGAAUGUUGUUGAUGAUCUACAUUUAUGUAUUUGAAAAAUCUCAAUGUUUUUUUCUUCUUUUGUUAUUAUGUCGUGUAGGUUGCUUGGCUAUAUUUUUGUGUGAUUAACAUGUUGAACUAUUUGUACCGAGGAGCAAUAACUAGCAAUAAUGUUAAUGGACAUCGUGGGACUUGAACAGAUUAUAAACCUAGAUUGUAAAUUCAUAAUGAUAACUAACAAAAUUGAUAAAGAUGGUGGGUGAGAGAGACAUGUGAGAUAGAGUGGUUGGAAAAGAUAGUAAUAUAAAAAUCCAGUAUUAAGAAACUAUAGUAAUAGUAUGUUUUUCAUAUGAUCCAAUGAUUAAAAAACACUUUUAGAUUAAAUGGCACCGACUUUGGCCGGUUUGUUGGAAGUUGAUAUGUAGGAUUAAACUACAAACACGACAAAAAAGCCAUUGUCAAAAGCAUUGGCAUUUCGUGUCUGCAUUUUCUAAUUUUAUUACGGCUAGUGGAUACAGGAAACUUCCUCCAACAAUGCAAUGUUGUUUUGUCAUGAGAAGGGAUUUGCAUAUAUCCACAUUUUCUAUUGGGAUAUUUUUUGUAUUGGACGACUUCGGAUUUCUUUGCAAUGUAUUUUCCUCUUAAUUUCACUCGUUAGUUAAAUGGAAACAAGUAUUUUCUCUUCUCCAACUCCAAAUUCAUUCACUUAAUGACAGAUAGUUAAAAUUAACUUACAAAGGAUUUUGUUCCCUUCCCUUCAAAUAAAAUAAAAUAAAAUACCUCUAAAAUUUAAAAGAAAAAUGCCAACGAAUGUUCACUGGACAUUUUUAACGUGGAGAAACUCAAAAAAAAAAAAAAAAAAAAAAGGAUAAUUGGAGAACUUUAAGGAUUUUAAAUACAUUUUCACGUCAAAAACAAGAAGGAUUUUAAAUACAUUUUAAAAUUCAUUGACUUAAAAAAUAUUAUUUUGAUGCGAUCUUGUUUGUAAAAGAAAGUUUGGCUGGUAAUGUCAUUCCAUAAAACAAUUUUAAUAAUUAAUUUUCUUUUUGGCCUUUUGAUAUAAUGAAAUUGUUGCAUAUAACUGGGCUCUUGGUAGUUAGAAUUAUUAAUUAUAUAUGUUAGCCAAAUAAUGAGUAAGUUUUGUACUACUCAUAUAUGAAUAAAGAAUCAUGCAACCUUAAUAAUUAAUUUCCUUCAAUUAAUAAAAAUUAGGUUCAAUUAACAACUGAGUAUACUCGGUCAAUAAAGGGGAAAAGGAAUAGUAGACUUAGACUCCGUUUAGUUUGCGUUUAUGAAAAAUAAUUUAUGUAAAUAAGUAAGUUUUUAUUUUAAUUUAUAAGCUAUUACUAACGAAAAUUGUAUCUUCAUAAAUAGUUUUUCAUAAACUACCUUAAAAACUUAUAAAUAAUACAUAAAAAUUUAUUUAUUUACAUAAACCGUUUUAUAUAAGCUAUAAAAUAAGUUAAUUCAAAUGGGCCUUCGUCAGCUCUAAAACUCAGCUUUUUUCUAACUUAAGUUUGAACUAACUCUACAAUGUCACGCUGCUGACAAUGCCAAAUUUAGCAUGCUUGCUUACGUAUGUAUGUUGUCCAAGUCAAUGAUCAAUGCAAAUAAACAUUUUGAAAGCUACCUCUUAAUUUACUUUUCGUCUUGCUUUGCGUGUCUGCAUUUUCUAAUUUUAUUAAGGAUAGUGGAUACAGGAAACUUCCUCCAAUGCAAUGUUGUCUUAUCAUGAGAAGGGAUUUGCAUAUAUCCACAUUUUCUAUUGGGAUAUUUUUUGUAUUGGACGACUUCGGAUUCCUUUUCCUUAAAAUUUCUUGGAAGUUUCGGUGUGGGUGCAAAAAAUUAGAUUAAAAGGCAAUGGGUUGCUUGUCAUUCUAUGCCAUCAUCAAUCCAUGUAAGAAAAGCAACCGUGGUACCUUUUCUUCUAAUCUUCUUCUAGAGAAGACAUACUAUUAUUAUUCUCUCUCGUGUCGUGCGAAAAUCCUAAUGCCAUUGUCAACAAAUUCUCAGAAUCGGACACAUUUUUCCAAUCCCUUAUUAUAAAUAUUCUGCUUUGUUUUGUUUGCCAUCAAUUUGUUCUCCUUUGCAUAUAUUCUAAUUAAGAUAAGGUGAUGCUUAAGAUAAAGAUAUUGCAAGCCGUAUUGGCGGGGUUAACGUUUUUGUUGGGGUUAUUAAGCAAUCUAGUGUUGAGGCUGCAGAAACAGAGCCAAAAGCCUCAGAAGCAGCAAAAACUGCUUCAGAUCAAAUCUGAAUUAGAUUCUUCUUCUUCUUCGUCAACGGAGAUGAUGGUGGUUGAUGAUGAUGACAUGUAUGGGCUGAGCUGGAGGUUGGCAAUGGAGACAAACAAUAAUGUGCGUCCUUGGAAGACAAUCCCACUUCGUUGCUACAAGCAUGUUGAGAAUUACAUGAUUGGUGGACAAUACGAGCAUGACAUGAACCUCAUCGUGGAUGAAAUUAUGUUUUAUGCAUCUCAGAUUACUCUUUCUACUUCUACUACUACUACUACUCAUCAAGAUGCUUGGGUUUUGGACGUGGACGACACUUGUAUCUCUAAUAUUCCUUAUUAUAAAGCUAAACGAUUUGGGUAUGUUUCUUUCUUUCUUUCGUAUUUUUUUUAUUAUAUGUUAGACUUGGGGCACACAAUUUGAAUUUAUUUUUUUUAUGAUAUGAUAUUUGGUGGCAGAUGCGACCCAUUUGAUUCGGCGAUGUUCAAGGCAUGGAUCAAUCAAGGAAUGUGCCCUGCAAAUCCUGUGGUACUAAGAUUGUUUAAAACGUUGAUAGAGAAAGGAUUCAAAGUGUUCUUAGUAACGGGUAGAUACGAAGGAACACUUGCCAAAAUCACUACGGACAAUUUGCACAACCAAGGAUUCAUCGGCUACCAACGCCUUAUUUUAAGGUAACUAACAAUUAGUAUUUCAUUUUUCUAACUUUUUCAUAACUAGCGUACAACAGUUUUUGUGACAUAAGCCAGCCUCUUUAGGUUAGGUGGAUAGUGACUGCUACCUACGUUACGUUCUCAUGACAAAAUUAUUGGUGACUAGGAGGAUAUGUUUAUAACAACAAUGAUGAUAUUUGUGUGGAUGAAUCAACGUUACAUGAUGUAAUAUACCACAUUAGUAUUAGUACAAUAAUAAUCUCCAUGGAGACAAAACAUGUGGCAUAAUUGAUGGUUUGAAUUUGAAAGCCGAUUUUAGUAUAGUUAUCAGUUUCGUUUCGUUUCGUUGAUGUAUGCGUAACUUCGAAGAAGCUACCAUCGCUCCAAAUCCAAUUUCUAAUAUGUCGACUCGACGGGUCAAAUUCAUUUUCAACUAGAGCUAGUACCAUUCAUAUGACCUUAAUUUCCAAGCUAUGAUGACGGUCACAGAACCUAUUUUAUUUUAGAGUUAACAUAUACUAUUAUCAAAUAAAAGUUGAAUUAUUUCUUUUUCUUUUUUUGGUCAAGUAGUCUAGUGGUUAGAAUUCACCUUUUUCAAGGUGAAUAAGUGGGGUGUCCGGGAUUCGAACCCUGACCUCUGCAUAUAACAUUGCAUGUCCCUGCCAACUGAGCUAUGCUCACGGGAACAAAGUUGAAUUAUUUCUUUAAAUAACUGAUAAUAUAUUUAUUUUUUAGGCUUAAAUAUGGAAAUGGUCCCUGUAAAUAUCUGGCAUUUUGGAUUUAGUCCCUAUAAAAAUAUUUUUUGGUUUUAGUCCCUGCAAAUAUAGAAUAUUUGGUUUUGGUCCUUGGUAUUUUGUUUUAAUCCUUAUAAAAUCAUUUUAUAUUGAAAUUGGUCACUAUAAUAUUCAUUUUAAUCCUCAUUUUAAAGGAUUAAAAUCAAAUAUUCUACAUAUUACAAAGACCAAAUCCAAUAUGAAUCAAUUUUACAAAGACAAAAAGAGUAUAUUUAAUUGACUUGGCCGGUUUGUUGGAAGUUGAUAUGUAGGAUUAAACUACAAACACGACAAAGAAACCAUUGUCAAAAGCAUUGGCAUUUCGUGUCUGCAUUUUCUAAUUUUAUUACGGCUAGUGGAUACAGGA